AUUCAUAAAAUAUUUAUUACUGUAUAUGUCCGGAAAUAAGGUCUGGACGUUUCUACCAAGCUGCCGUAAAUGGCUUGUCUACAGGUUAAGCUUUUCCCCGU
rnacentral:ncRNA from 17 species